CCUACGGGUGGCAGCAGUGAGGAAUAUUGGUCAAUGGACGAGAGUCUGAACCAGCCAAGUAGCGUGAAGGAUGACUGCCCUAUGGGUUGUAAACUUCUUUUAUAAAGGAAUAAAACGAGGCACGUGUGCCUUUUUGCAUGUACUUUAUGAAUAAGGAUCGGCUAACUCCGUGCCAGCAGCCGCGGUAAUACGGAGGAUCCGAGCGUUAUCCGGAUUUAUUGGGUUUAAAGGGAGCGUAGAUGGGUUGUUAAGUCAGAUGUGAAAGUUUGCGGCUCAACCUUAAAAUUGCAAUUGAUACUGGCAGUCUUGAGGACAGGUGAGGUAGGCGGAAUUCGUGGUGUAGCGGUGAAAUGCUUAGAUAUCACGAAGAACCCCGAUUGCGAAGGCAGCUUACUAAACUGUGACUGACAUUGAUGCUCGAAAGUGUGGGUAGCAAACAGGAUUAGAUACCCCUGUAGUC
rnacentral:rRNA from 1 species